GAAGGGGGCUAGCGUUGCUCGGAAUCACUGGGCGUAAAGGGCGCGUAGGCGGCCGAUUAAGUCGGGGGUGAAAGCCUGUGGCUCAACCACAGAAUUGCCUUCGAUACUGGUUGGCUUGAGACCGGAAGAGGACAGCGGAACUGCGAGUGUAGAGGUGAAAUUCGUAGAUAUUCGCAAGAACACCAGUGGCGAAGGCGGCUGUCUGGUCCGGUUCUGACGCUGAGGCGCGAAAGCGUGGGGAGCAAACAGGGAUUAGAUACCCUGGUAGUCCACGCCGUAAACGAUGAAUGCCAGCCCGUUGGCCUGCUUGCAGGUCAGUGGCGCCGCUAACGCAUUAAGCAUUCCCGCCCUGGGGAGUACGGUCGCAGGAUUAA
rnacentral:rRNA from 1 species